UGCCAGACUCCUACGGGAGGCAGCAGUGGGGGAUAUUGCACAAUGGGGGGAACCCUGAUGCAGCGACGCCGCGUGGGUGAAGAAGCGCCUCGGCGCGUAAAGCCCUAUCAGCAGGAAAGAAAAUGACGGUACCUGACUAAGAAGCCCCGGCUAACUACGUGCCAGCAGCCGCGGUAAUACGUAGGGGGCAAGCGUUAUCCGGAUUUACUGGGUGUAAAGGGAGCGUAGACGGUGAAGCAAGUCUGAUGUGAAAGGCCGGGGCCCAACCCCGGGACUGCAUUGGAAACUGCGAGGCUGGAGUGUCGGAGAGGCAGGCGGAAUUCCUAGUGUAGCGGUGAAAUGCGUAGAUAUUAGGAGGAACACCAGUGGCGAAGGCGGCCUGCUGGACGAUGACUGACGCUGAGGCUCGAAAGCGUGGGGAGCAAACAGGAUUAGAUACCCCUGUA
rnacentral:rRNA from 1 species